rnacentral:rRNA from 1 species
AUUGAACGCUGGCGGCAUGCUUUACACAUGCAAGUCGAACGGCAGCGCGGGCUUCGGCCUGGCGGCGAGUGGCGAACGGGUGAGUAAUACAUCGGAACGUGCCCAGUAGUGGGGGAUAGCUCGUCGAAAGCCGGAUUAAUACCGCAUACGACCUGAGGGUGAAAGCGGGGGAUCUUCGGACCUCGCGCUAUGGGAGCGGCCGAUGGCAGAUUAGCUAGUUGGUGGGGUAAAGGCCUACCAAGGCGACGAUCUGUAGCUGGUCUGAGAGGACGACCAGCCACACUGGGACUGAGACACGGCCCAGACUCCUACGGGAGGCAGCAGUGGGGAAUGUUGGACAAUGGGCGAAAGCCUGAUCCAGCAAUGCCGCGUGUGUGAUGAAGGCCUUCGGGUUGUAAAGCACUUUUGGCGGGAACGAAAAGGACUGUGCCAAUACCACGGUUGGAUGACGGUACCCGCAGAAUAAGCACCGGCUAACUACGUG